rnacentral:rRNA from 1 species
AGCGAACGUUAGCGGCGGGCCUAACACAUGCAAGUCGAACGCGAAAGGUCUUCGGACUGAGUAGAGUGGCGCACGGGUGAGUAACACGUAGGUAAUCUACCCUUUGGCGGGGGAUAACGUUCCGAAAGGAGCGCUAAUACCGCAUAAGACCACGUGGUCUCCGGACCGAGUGGGAAAAGGUGGCCUCUUCUUGAAAGCUACCACCGAAGGAUGAGCCUGCGUCCCAUCAGCUAGUUGGUAAGGUAAUGGCUUACCAAGGCAAAGACGGGUAGCUGGUUUGAGAGAAUGAUCAGCCACACUGGCACUGGAACACGGGCCAGACUCCUACGGGAGGCAGCAGUGAGGAAUAUUGGGCAAUGGGCGAAAGCCUGACCCAGCCACGCCGCGUGAGUGAUGAAGGCCCUCGGGUCGUAAAGCUCUGUGGAGAGGGACGAAAACCCUGGUUUCAAAUAGGCUCCAGGCUUGACGGUACCUCUUUAGCAAGCACCGGCUAACUCUGUGCCAGCAGCCGACGG